CGGCUCGUGACUUCAUUCUGUGUUUCCGUGCUCAAGCCUUCGCACGUACUUGAAAAAUGGAGAGAAAAAGACGUCGUGUAAUUUAUUCUUCAUCGGAGGAAGACGAAAUCGAGUCAUCGCGCAGUAUGGUGUCAUCAGGAUCAAGAAAUAAUUUAACACGUAUUGCGUGCACACGUAAUACGUCUUCGUCGCGAGUGCGACAAAAAUCUCCACCUGCCAUCACACAUGGUAAAGGUGAGUCGCGUGUGCGACAUAAAUCUUCACCUGCCAACACACGUGGCAAAGGUGAGUCGCGUGUGCGACAAAAAUCUCCACCUGCCAACAUACGUGGCAAAGGUGAGUCGCGUGUGCGACAAAAAUCUCCACCCGCCAACAUACGUGUCAAAGGUGAGUCGCGUGUGCGACAAAAAUCUCCACCUGCCAACAUACGUGGCAAAGGUGAGUCGCGUGUGCGACAAAAAUCUUCACCUGCCAACAUACGUGGCAAAGGUGAGUCGCGUGUGCGACAAAAAAUCUCCACCAGUCAACACACGUGGCCAAGGUGCAUCGCGUGUGCGUUCAGAUUCACCAGACAGUGGCGCAUCACCGCCUAGGAGGAUUUUAAGACCAUCAUUGUUUGACGAGGACCCUCGCCGACAUCAGCGGUACCGUCGUCGCCAGCGCGUCUUUCGCCAACAUGUUUGUCACCAGAGCGCUCGGCGCAAGGACCUGAAAUGCCUGACCAGGAAAUAGAUGGGCCCGCUGAUGAAAAAUGUCUACAGCUUCUAUGGAAUGCUCAUAAGGUAGACACCUCUCUUGGACCAGCUAUACAUAAAGACAUAGCUAGCCAAUGACAACAUAUUUUGAGUAAAGGCUUACCAAAAACCAAAAAGAUAAACAUUUUGAAGAGUAAUGAUUUUAAUAAAAAUCUCGUCGUUUUAUCGUGGUAUGUACCUGUUUAAAUAACGUUAAUUUUGAAGAGUAUUUGGUACCCAACAACUACGAUCUUUUGCAAGCUCCAGCUCUCAACCAGGUAGCAAGAGUAUGCAAGCGUCGCCGACUCAAGCACAGCACGAGAGCCGCCAGCACGCCAGACGUACAGCGGUGCGCGGAAGUGGAGCUACCGGGGGCGCUCGCCGCCACCGCCACCUCCACGCAGGACGACUUACCGGAGAUAAAUACACAGGUACCACCUUACGCUAGCAGACUCAAAUAUUUUUACUCUAACUGGACAAAUGACACAACUAUCUUAUUUUGGAUCACUGGUUAUACCAAUGGUUAAUUCCAUUUGCUGCGACUCCAUACCGCACAGAUAGUCCAUACUAUGUUUAUCAACAAUCAAUUUAAGAGAAUAUUAAGUUUUAAAAAUCAAUCAUAACUUUGUUGAAUAUAAAUGCAAUUUCACAAUGUAUCUACUAUAUUUACCUAAACCAAAUAGUGGGAAACGGUUUAUUCUAAAUUUAAAAUGUUUAAAUAAAUUUAUAGAUACGAAACAUUUCAAUAAGCAAGACUACCGAACAGCAUUAAAAAUGAUCACUAGAAAUUGAUACAUGGCAUCUAUAGACCUAAAAGACGCUUAUUAUUAUUUUUUUUAGUAUACCCAUUCACAAUUCUCACAAAAAGUACUUACGAUUUAAUUACAUUAAUGUACUAUAUGUAAACCAGCAAUGAAGUCAUUGAGAUCACCACAACAUUUUGUCUCAGUUAUACUUAGAUGAUAUUUUUUGUGUAGGUAGGAGUUUCUCAGAAUGUAGUGGUAAUGUUAACACAACUAAAGUUUUUUUUUUUUAAAUCUAGGAUUUAUAAUCAACAUACGUAAACUUUACAUUUACAUUACAUUUACGUUACAUUUACAUCAAGUAAAAGCUCUUUGGCUCCAAAAACAAAAUAUAAGUUUCUAUGUUUCGAAUUUGAUUCCAAAAACAUGACAAAUGAUAAACGUCGAAAAUUAAAGAAAUUUUCUAACCUCCUUCCUUUGUUUACGUAAAUGUAAAUUAACUGAAUUCUCUGGUAUCAUCUGGUAUCAGCUUGUCCAGCUAUACAACACUCUUGUUUAUAUACUAAAGAGUUCGAAAACUAUUAAAUACCAAAGUUUAUUAAAAAGUACCAGUUACGACCACAUUAUAAAACUACCCGCAAUUUUGAGAAGUGAUAUGUUUUAGUGGCUAAUAAAUAUUGAACAUGGAUUUACUUCAUUCGGUUCAAUUCGUUAUGAUAUAGUGUUUUUUUUUUUUGCGAUUCCUCUUUAACUGGUUGGGGUGCAUAUUGUAAUUCUAAACAAAGUUGCACAUAAAUGAGCUUGAAUUAAAAGCAGCGUUUUUUAGCCUUUAAAUGUUAUACAAAUCUAGUAACCAGUGUAAUAAGGUUUUGUUAAGAUCGGAUAAUAUAACUAAUAUGUCCUGCAUUAAUAUAAAAGGUAGCAUACAAUACAGACAUCUGAAUAAAACAUCAAACGAGAUCUGGAAAUGGUAUUAAAGUCAUAGUUUUAUUUUAUUUGCAUCCGACAUAAAUACAAUGUCCAGUUAUGAAGCCGAUUCACUUACGCGAAAGAAAUUUCGUGAUACAAAAUGGGAGCUAAAUAAUAUCGUAUUUAAUAAAUGCAAUGCCAGAUGUCCCGUUUAUGUUACAGAGAAAAACGAUCCAGAUGCAUUUGCAGUGGAUGCGUUUACAAUUUCAUGAAAAGAAAAAUACCUUAUCAUUUCCCACCGUUUUUUUCUUAACAUGUUAAGACUAUGCAAAAGUAGUUAGCGACAAGGCUGAGGGCAUUGUUGUUGUUGUUCCAUAUUGGCCCACACAAUGCUGGUUCCUUAUAUUCAAAGAGUUGAUAGUUUCAGAUUUAUUGUUUUUUGAACCUGAUAUCAACUUGACUUUAAGAAUCUAUUACAAUCUUCACAAGACUCUAAAGUUGGUAGUCGCAAUGCUUUCCGGAAAGUUCUGUUAAAUAAGUCCCUAGAUCCAAAGCACCAAGCACCAAGACCUAUUGAAAUCAUAUUGACAUCAUUAUCAAACUCAACAUACAAGCAAUAUGAUAGUUGUAUAAAAAAUUGGAUGAUUCUUUUGUAAUAAACACCGUUAUAAUUAUACAUCUGCGCCAGAAUCAGUUAUCAUUGAUUUUCUUACUGAAACAUUUGAUAAAGGGGCUAAAUAUGGUACUAUUAACUCGUACAAGUCUGCAUUGUCACUUUUAUUGACAAUAAACUCAAUAAUAAUGAAAUCAAACGCUUUAUGCAAGGAGUUUUAAAAUUGAGACCCACAAACCCUAACUAUAACAUAACAUGGAACCCUAAUAUUGUUCUGUCUGAUUUAACAAGUAAAUGGCCUAAUACAGGUCUCGAU
rnacentral:lncRNA from 1 species